rnacentral:rRNA from 1 species
GAUCCUGGCUCAGGACGAACGCUGGCGGCGUGCUUAACACAUGCAAGUCGAACGGAGCACCCUUGAAAGAGACUUCGGUUGAUUGAUAGGAAUGCUUAGUGGCGGACUGGUGCGUAACACGUGAGUAACCUGCCCCGGAGAGUGGAAUAACACAGCGAAAGUUGUGCUAAUACCGCAUAACAUGGUUGUACCGCAUGGUGCUGACCAUCAAAGAUUUAUCGCUUUGGGAUGG